UACGGGGGGGGGGCAAGCGUUGUUCGGAAUUACUGGGCGUAAAGGGCUCGUAGGUGGCCAACUAAGUCAGACGUGAAAUCCCCUCGGCUUAACCGGGGGAACUGCGUCUGAUACUGGCACGCUAGAGUUCGGGAGAGGAUGGUGGAAUUCCCAGUGUAGAGGUGAAAUUCGUAGAUAUUGGGAAGAACACCGAUGGCGAAGGCAGCCAUCUGGACCGACACUGACGCU
rnacentral:rRNA from 1 species